UUCGGUCUUAGCGGCGGNACGGGUGAGUACGCGUGGGAACGUGCCCUUCACUGCGGAAUAGCCCAGGGAAACUUGGAUUAGUACCGCAUACGCCCUUCGGGGGAAAGAAUUUCGGUGAGGGAUCGGCCCGCGUCUGAUUAGGUAGUUGGUGGGGUAACGGCCUACCAAGCCGACGAUCAGUAGCUGGUUUGAGAGGAUGAUCAGCCACACUGGGACUGAGACACGGCCCAGACUCCUACGGGAGGCAGCAGUGGGGAAUCUUAGACAAUGGGGGAAACCCUGAUCUAGCCAUGCCGCGUGAGUGACGAAGGCCCUAGGGUCGUAAAGCUCUUUCGCCAGGGAUGAUAAUGACAGUACCUGGUAAAGAAACCCCGGCUAACUCCGUGCCAGCAGCCGCGGUAAUACGGAGGGGGUUAGCGUUGUUCGGAAUUACUGGGCGUAAAGCGCGCGUAGGCGGACUGUUAAGUCGGGGGUGAAAUCCCGGGGCUCAAACCCGGAACUGCCUUCGAUACUGGCAGUCUAGAGUUCUGGAGAGGUGAGUGGAAUUCCGAGUGUA
rnacentral:rRNA from 1 species